AGAGUUUGAUCAUGGCUCAGAUUGAACGCUGGCGGCAGGCCUAACACAUGCAAGUCGAACGGUAACAGGAAGCAGCUUGCUGCUUCGCUGACGAGUGGCGGACGGGUGAGUAAUGUCUGGGAAGCUGCCUGAUGGAGGGGGAUAACUACUGGAAACGGUAGCUAAUACCGCAUAAUGUCGCAAGACCAAAGAGGGGGACCUUCGGGCCUCUUGCCAUCGGAUGUGCCCAGAUGGGAUUAGCUUGUUGGUGGGGUAACGGCUCACCAAGGCGACGAUCCCUAGCUGGUCUGAGAGGAUGACCAGCCACACUGGAACUGAGACACGGUCCAGACUCCUACGGGAGGCAGCAGUGGGGAAUAUUGCACAAUGGGCGCAAGCCUGAUGCAGCCAUGCCGCGUGUAUGAAGAAGGCCUUCGGGUUGUAAAGUACUUUCAGCGGGGAGGAAGGGAGUAAAGUUAAUACCUUUGCUCAUUGACGUUACCCGCAGAAGAAGCACCGGCUAACUCCGUGCCAGCAGCCGCGGUAAUACGGAGGGUGCAAGCGUUAAUCGGAAUUACUGGGCGUAAAGCGCACGCAGGCGGUUUGUUAAGUCAGAUGUGAAAUCCCCGGGCUCAACCUGGGAACUGCAUCUGAUACUGGCAAGCUUGAGUCUCGUAGAGGGGGGUAGAAUUCCAGGUGUAGCGGUGAAAUGCGUAGAGAUCUGGAGGAAUACCGGUGGCGAAGGCGGCCCCCUGGACGAAGACUGACGCUCAGGUGCGAAAGCGUGGGGAGCAAACAGGAUUAGAUACCCUGGUAGUCCACGCCGUAAACGAUGUCGACUUGGAGGUUGUGCCCUUGAGGCGUGGCUUCCGGAGCUAACGCGUUAAGUCGACCGCCUGGGGAGUACGGCCGCAAGGUUAAAACUCAAAUGAAUUGACGGGGGCCCGCACAAGCGGUGGAGCAUGUGGUUUAAUUCGAUUCAACGCGAAGAACCUUACCUGGUCUUGACAUCCACGGAAGUUUUCAGAGAUGAGAAUGUGCCUUCGGGAACCGUGAGACAGGUGCUGCAUGGCUGUCGUCAGCUCGUGUUGUGAAAUGUUGGGUUAAGUCCCGCAACGAGCGCAACCCUUAUCCUUUGUUGCCAGCGGUCCGGCCGGGAACUCAAAGGAGACUGCCAGUGAUAAACUGGAGGAAGGUGGGGAUGACGUCAAGUCAUCAUGGCCCUUACGACCAGGGCUACACACGUGCUACAAUGGCGCAUACAAAGAGAAGCGACCUCGCGAGAGCAAGCGGACCUCAUAAAGUGCGUCGUAGUCCGGAUUGGAGUCUGCAACUCGACUCCAUGAAGUCGGAAUCGCUAGUAAUCGUGGAUCAGAAUGCCACGGUGAAUACGUUCCCGGGCCUUGUACACACCGCCCGUCACACCAUGGGAGUGGGUUGCAAAAGAAGUAGGUAGCUUAACCUUCGGGAGGGCGCUUACCACUUUGUGAUUCAUGACUGGGGUGAAGUCGGAACAAGGUAACCGUAGGGGAGCCUGCGGUUG
rnacentral:rRNA from 1 species